ACCAUCCCACGAGCUUCCCAGCACCAGGCAGUGGGGUUGCAGAUAGAAAUGCCCUUCCUGGGCCUGCAGAGCUGCUUGUGCCCAUGUUGCUGUGUGGGCUGCAGCCGCUGAGUGAUCCCUCUUAUCUGAGUCAGGAGGGAGAGGAGCAAAUGGAGCCCAGAGCUGGCACUUGGCAGCGGGACAUGGUGGCUGCGAGGUGAUAAGGGCAAGAGAUAAGCUGUGUGUGCAUGGCCAUGGCAGAGUGAUCGACACCCAGAGUGAGAGCUGCUUGUCCUGCUGCUCCAUAGCCAGCAUUGAAGAAAACAGUCUUUUUCCCCCCAAAACACCCACGGGACACAGAGGUGGGUUGAGAUAGGGAUAAUAUCCCUGCUGGGUCUGAGAGCUCUAGUGCCAAUAGGUACAGCCUGGAUGGAGCUUUGCUGCCUCUCAGUUCUGCUUUGCUCUUCAGUGGGCUUAAACUGCAGAGCUUUGCAGAUUUUUUGCUGGGUUUUAAGCUGUUUUGGUAUGAAGAUUAGUUCCCUUCCCUCCCACAGACCUUUUUAAAAGCUAGAUAAUGACCAAAAUUUCAGACCGGCCAUCUGUGCAUAAAGCUGCCCAGUGCUCCCAGUGCUCCCAGUGCACCCAGUACAACCCAGCACCAGCAGCUCUCAACCAUCACCAGCAUUACCUGCAUUAGCUGCAGCCUCCAGCCCAUGAGUACCCCAAUGAUCCCAGGAUGGCAGUGACCCCCAGUGCUGCCCUGACCACCUCCUGCUCCUCUCCUCAUUUCCUCCUGUCCCUUCCCACCACUCAGGGCUGCAAUCCUGACCCGGCGUGGAGCCCUCAGCCCUAUUUAUAGCAGUGCCCACAGCACUGUUCCAUACACCAGGCAGAUCAGGAGGGCUGCAGUGCUGUCCUUGGCCCACACGCAGCCCCAUGGGGCCCUUCGCUUUGAGCAGCACAACAGCAGGACCAGCGAUUUCUUUUCCUUUCUCAAAUAAGAAAAGGACCAGAAACCGGAACGCUCUUUGCCCACGUGCCAUCGUUCCCCAUCGCGCUGCCGGUGCUUCUCCUGCCUUUAUCCGACAGGGCGCAGCACAGCCCGCACCUCGUGCGGGACCCCGACGGGUUCGGGAUCUCAUCUUUUCCUAUCAGGAGGUUUCUAAGAUCCCACCUGCAGCCCCGGCGCACACGGAUGGGCUGCAGGAACGGAGGGUUCGGGAUGAAUUAGAACUGAGGUCACCGCAUGGGGAUGAGAUGGAUGAGCCCUGAGAGGUGCGGGACGUGGGACUCCGCUUCUACCGGCAGCUCAGCGCCGCUCCGAGCCCUUCUCGUGCCCCGCACCGGCUCAAUGGGGGGAGGCGACCCCCGCCACGCUCCCCACGGCCGCCCCCCGUCCCAGCCCACGGCCGCUGCGUCACAGCGGGGCUGUCGGGGGGCGCAGGAAGGCGGAACCCCGCACGGUUGGGUCUUUAACCCCCCCGACCCCCGGGGAAACAAACACUCCCCCUCCCAUCCCAUCCCGUCCAUCCAGCAGUUCAUCCCGCUCGGUGCUGACUCAGAGCCCGACCCGCCCAACGACCCGUUCGGUUCCGUGUAGACGCGACACGCGGAGCUGCUCGAUAUCGGUGUGAGCACGGAUCCAUCCGGCCCCGAACCGCGUCCCGAACCGAACCGAACCGCCCGUACCUCGCGUCCGCCGCCGCCGGGGCCCCUUCGGCCGCCGGGGCCGCGGCCAUAGCGCUGCCGGGAGGGAGGGAGGUGCGGAACCGGGCCGGGAGAGGCGGAGCUGCCGCGGGGAGCAACGGGACUUGUAGUGCGGGAGGGUCCGGUGGGUGUUAUGGGCACGGGUGGGGGAUACAGGUGCAGGGGAGGAGGUGGGUGGAUGUGAGCGAUCCCAACCUGGGAGCUCCGUAGAAUGGGCUGGGUUGCAAAGGAUCCCGAUGCUCAUCCAGCUCCAACCCCCCGCUAUGUGCAGGGCGGCCAAGCAGCAGAGCAGGAUGCUCAGCCACGUCCAGCCCGGCACUGAAGGGCUGCAGGGAUGGGGGGACCCGGCCUUGAAGGGCUGCAGGGAUGGGGGGAUCUAUGGGGCACCUGGGCUGCUCCCAGCAGAGGGAACACAAGGAAGGAACCCCCCCCUGCUUUGCAAAGCUCCUCCUGCUCACGGAUCUCAUCGCCCAGUGAAAUGAUGAGAGCAAUGAAAAAUCAAUAACCAUUUAUUCGAUACAGCUGCUUUCCAUACAUACAGUACACGGAGCGCUCCCCGCCCGGCGCUGAUGAUGUGUCCAUGAUUAACAAAAGAAUGGAUCGGCACGAAUCGGGAGUUCAUUAUCAGAUGCUUUACCAUUAAAACCAUAUAUAUAUCUUUUUUUUUUCCUUUUUUUUUUUUUUUUUU